GGAAUAUUGGACAAUGGGCGAAAGCCUGAUCCAGCCAUGCCGCGUGUGUGAAGAAGGUCUUCGGAUUGUAAAGCACUUUAAGUUGGGAGGAAGGGCCAUUACCUAAUACGUGAUGGUUUUGACGUUACCGACAGAAUAAGCACCGGCUAACUCUGUGCCAGCAGCCGCGGUAAUACAGAGGGUGCAAGCGUUAAUCGGAAUUACUGGGCGUAAAGCGCGCGUAGGUGGUUUGUUAAGUUGGAUGUGAAAUCCCCGGGCUCAACCUGGGAACUGCAUUCAAAACUGACUGACUAGAGUAUGGUAGAGGGUGGUGGAAUUUCCUGUGUAGCGGUGAAAUGCGUAGAUAUAGGAAGGAACACCAGUGGCGAAGGCGACCACCUGGACUGAUACUGACACUGAGGUGCGAAAGCGUGGGGAGCAAACAGGAUUAGAUACCCCUG
rnacentral:rRNA from 1 species